UACGUAGGGUGCGAGCGUUAAUCGGAAUUACUGGGCGUAAAGCGUGCGCAGGCGGUUUUGUAAGCCAGGUGUGAAAUCCCCGGGCUCAACCUGGGAACUGCAGUCGAAACUGCAAAUCUUGAAUGUCUGAGAGGAUGGCGGAAUUCCCGGUGUAGUAGUGAAAUACGUAGAUAUCGGGAAGAACACCUGAGGCGAAGGCGGCUAUCUGGCGGUACAUUGACGCUAAGGCGCGAAAGCGUGGGGAG
rnacentral:rRNA from 1 species